rnacentral:rRNA from 1 species
UUUAAAGAGAGUUUGAUCCUGGCUCAGGACGAACGCUGGCGGCGUGCCUAAUACAUGCAAGUCGAACGAACGGAGGAAGAGCUUGCUCUUCCAAAGUUAGUGGCGGACGGGUGAGUAACACGUGGGCAACCUGCCUGUAAGUUGGGGAUAACUCCGGGAAACCGGGGCUAAUACCGAAUGAUAAAGUGUGGCGCAUGCCAUGCUUUUGAAAGAUGGUUUCGGCUAUCGCUUACAGAUGGGCCCGCGGUGCAUUAGCUAGUUGGUAGGGUAAUGGC